AAACCUUUCUGGACUCCUUAAAUAUAUCCUUCAAGAUUUUGACAUUUCUCUGAUUGGAACUGACAAAUAGAUCUUGGUAGGCCAAAGGUUCCACCCUUCACUCUAAAGCUAAGUUGGGUGAGUACUUGAAUUUCGGAGUCCUCAAAUUCUUUGGUCUUGAGGCUUUUUACGUUCUUAAAAAUUACUGAAGUCCCCAGAGAGCUUUUACGUAUGUGGGCAAAAUCUAUUUAUAUUUACCAUAUUAGAAAUCAAAAUUGAGGAAAUAUAAAAAUAUGCAUUUAUUAAUCUUGAAAUAAUAUGGGCUUAGAGAGCUUGGACACUGAGUCAGGAGGGCAAAAGCGGAGAGUGGAACGAAACCUGCCUUGCAGAGCUGGGCGCUGUUCUGUUGUCUCCUGGGAGGUGGUUUCUCCAUUCCAAGUUUGCUUAGGCCCCUGGGGAAUAAUCUGUGACUGAGUUCAGGUGAGAACUCAGGUUCUUCAGCAUCUCCCCUUCAGUACAUUUGAAUCUGUCUCCAUAUAUGUGUGUGUGUGUCUGUGCAUGUGUGUGUGUGCGUGUGUGCAUGUGUGUGUGAAUAUGUAUAUCUGUCAAAUCCAUGGAAAAACUGAUAGGAUUUCUAGGAGCCACAGGGACUUGGCUUAAGAAAAGCAGCUUCUUUGGGUCUGGAAUGCAGCAGUACCCUGGGUUCAGAUUGGGUCAGCCCAAUUUGGCAUCCCUGACCACCAGAUGCUGCUGCUUGCCAGAUUCACAUAGGCAGAACUCCACGUGCAGGUCAGCAUGUGGUCCUCCUGCCUGCUUUCAGCUCUGCCAAACCAGGUCCACAGCAGGGCCUUUGCACUUGCCCUUCUUUUCUCUGCAGCAUCCUGCCCAGGGGCCUUUGAUAAUGGCAUCUGCUUUUACAGGAGAGCCACAAUGGCAAGUCACAGACUGCAGACAGGGGAUGCCAAGAGGGUUUUGUUUUUCCUUGUGUAUGUGCUUGUUUUUAUUUUUGUUUUUUGAGACAGGAUCUGGCUCUGUCCCCAAGGCUGGAGUACAGUGGCACAAUCUUGGCUCACUGCAACCCCCACCUCCCGGGCUCAAGCCGUCCUCCCACCGAA
rnacentral:lncRNA from 10 species